AGCCUCCUUGCGUUCUCUCCUCCCCGACUGUCUCCAGACCAUCCAGUUAGGAGUUGGGGGGCUCCACCUCCCGCUCCGCCGGUAGUCCACUACAAGCUCCUUGGUCUCUCCGACGCUGAGCUGGAGGCGAUCGGUGCCACACACAUCUGCACUCCAUGUUGUCAAAUGUUUUAUUCACACUCUCAAGAUUAAAAUAAAUAAAAACCCUAAUAAGACCCAAGUCCAGCCAAUAUAAUUGAUAUUCUAUGAUUCAAAGCAAAAAUGGAAACAAUUGAAUUAUUUUGAAAGUACGUUAAAAAAAAAAAAAAAAAAAAAAAGCCUACCCCAGCUCCUCUCACUCACAGAAGUUACCAAAAAUGUGGCCAAGCUUACAGAGGAUAAAAGCAACAAGUAACUUGAUUUAUGACUAAGAUAUUUGACUGUUAGUGUCUAAUUUGAUAUUCAUAUGUAACACUGAAGACAGUAUGCAACAACUUGGCAUUUUUGAAGCACGUUUUUAAAUAGACAAGCACUUGCUUCAUCUUGAAAUAGAGUUUCGUGGUAUAGUCAUGUGAAGGAGUUAAACACAAACGUUCUUCCACCUAGCAUCCUGGGCUAUGCACUAGUGUUCUGUGUCUGGGUCAGACCACCCUGUGAAAAUAUAUAUAUAAAAAAUAUAAAAAAAGCUUUCACAGCACAUUGCCACCUUUAUUACACAAAGACAUGGAUUAGCAUUACAACCUAGACAUUAUGUGAAAGCAAGUUUCAUACUUAGGUAACUAUCGUAAGUAAUAGUCAAACAAUUCUCAAAACCCAGCACCAAUAAUAAACUGAAAAUUGAUGAGAUUCCACCUAGAUGAAAAAAUGUAAACUUGGGGACCUUUAAAUUGUAACUUUUUAGCGUUCUGAUCUCCUGGCGUAGUUUUCUCGUUGAAAUGUGCGUCUCGCUCAAUUUCUCGUUGGAGACGUUCACAUUUCUUGUAAGCUGGGGGUUUUUAACAGCACUUGGAUUAGACAUUUACAGUUCCAAUGAUUCUAGCAUGUUUUUUUAACAGCUUUUAUGUCCAUACCUGUCAGGUAAGUGUCCUCGCUGUAUAAUGAGGGAGCAGUCAUAGAUGAAGCACCUGGGAGGUAGUCACGUCACGUCACGCAUGCAGAUGAGAGUUAGAAUUGUAGUCACGCAAACACACAGGCAAUAAACACGGUUUUCCCACAAGAUUUUACUUUUUGAACUAGUUGCCCCACGUCCACUAUUACACUGGGCUUUCUUGAGAGGGACGAGCCAUGCCUAUCGUUAACAGAUUGUACACACUCUCAGGCAACAUGCACAAUUUAAAGAGGUUAGGCAUGAAAUUAAGGCAAAGGCAUGCUAUGUAAUAUGAAUGAACAUGCAAUAACUCAAAACAAAGGGCAAGUGCCCAGGGUUUGUGUGGGAAAAGCCAUCUGAAACCUCGAGCCCUUCUUGUUGCAACUACAUUUUUUACAACAUCUAACGGUUGGGACGAUCAGUGAAGCCAUUUAUUUUUAGUUUUUAUAAUCCAGUAUAAUUAACUGUACAAUAUAGUUAUAAUGUCCACAAAUACAAGGCAAAGCUCUACUAACAAACUAGCUUUAGCAUGGGAGCGCUCACCAGACACUGUAUGAGCUGAGGAGGUGGAGAUGGCAUCUUCAGGCACAGUGGGAAGUGCUGACCAGCACAGAAGCUACACACAAGCAUUUGUUUUUUGCAAGAAUGUCGGCCUAUGGUCUUCAAACCUACCCAAUGCUAACAACGCACUUUAAAGACUUCAAAAUAAGCACCACAAUUUUCGAUUGGUUAGUACCAGCAUGCAAAGCGCCAGGAAUGCAUCAUCGGCCAAUCACAGUCCACCAAAAACACCAAUUAGGAAACUCUUCGUUGAGGGGUGUUGAACCACUGACUAGAGAUCAUUUAUGUGGUUCAACCCCCCUAAUUGGUGUUUUUGCAUGCUGGUACUAACCAAUCGAAAAUUGUGGUGCUUAUUUUGAACUCUUUAAAAUGCGUUCCAAAGAUUCCUUGCUAUUUUAUAAAACAAUUGGGUUCUAUUGAAUUAUUUGGCUGUUUCUGAUUGGACGAGAGACGUUCCAUGAGUUGGAAUAUCCCAGGACAUCCCAACUCGGACUUUUCACAGCUAAUAAUAAAUCACUCCGCGAUGAAACAUUCUAUAGCACGUUGAUACAAUUAAGCGAUAACCGUUAAUUCAAAGUUCUUAUAAUUCCAAAAGACGUUGACAAUGCAGCUAUUUUUUUGUUGCGGAGAAACAAUGGCGAAAUAAACAUGUUUUAAUCAAUAACUUCGUGUUUAAAUGUUAAUUGGUUGACUAUAAAAUUGUUUUAUAAAAGCAAUAUAGUACUCGUGCGAGUGGGGUAGGUAAGGGAUAUUCCCACGGGUGUUGUUGCCUGCGCCACUCGCCUCCUAACUCAUGGUAAGUGAAACAGAUCUAUCAUAAAUUAUGACGUACUAUAAUUAACUAUGACUAAAUAUAGUGCUGCAUUGUUUUCUGUUGUAUAUGCCAUACUUGAUCUACCUUUUGAACCUAACAAGCAAAUGGAGCUAGUUCGCUGUCCUUGCUACUCCAAAUAUCUAGCUAAAACGUUAACGUCAUUUCACCACCUAAAUGGCUGUCUGUUCACGAAACUUUGGAAGACAGUUAGUGUUAGAUGCCAGCUAGUGUUGUCAGACUGGCUAGCAGCCUGCAAGAGAUCACAUGCCGUAUGUAUGUGUGCAUUCUACCCGCACAACAGAUGUGAACACCCUUCGUCACCAACUCUUCUGUGCUAGACGUGGCGAAGCAGAGUCCAGUGAACUCCCACCGUGUGAGGAUUGCCUCUUCAUGCAUGCAAUUCGUGCUAACUAUCAGUCUGCAAUAUGGAGGCGGUCUCUGAAGACCCAACCCUCCUUGGCGGAUCCCAAGGAGAGUGGGUGAACCACAGACGAUGAUGGGAAGCUUACUGCCAGAGUGCACAUGUCUCAACAAUGGCCUUAAGUGCACAGUAUGUGCAAACUGCAAACCUG
ensembl:lncRNA